CUCAAAGCCUGGUCCAUCUCCAUAGGACUGAAGCCUUGAAUCCGUUGCAGUUCGAUGCUGGAAAAAUAAUCCAUGAUGCUGAGGACAUACUCAUUGGCUAUUCCAAGUAUCUGUGGGCAACUGGCAUAUCCCGCAAAUGCUCCAGAGCUGUUCGACACACGAUCAAGAGUGCAUUCCGACUUGAGCCUUGGUCACUUGCUUUGGUCGACUCUCUCGGAAAGAUCCCAUCAGGUGUUCU